rnacentral:rRNA from 1 species
GACGAACGCUGGCGGCGCGCUUAAUACAUGCAAGUCGAGCGAGAACCAGGGCUUCGGCCCUGGGGACAGCGGCGAACGGGUGAGUAACACGUGGGUAAUCAACCCCCGACACCGGGAUAGCCCAGGGAAACUUGGAUUAAUACCGGAUGCCCCAUCUGGCUUUCGAGCCGGCUGGACAAGGGUAGCUUCGGCCUCCGGUCGGGGACGAGCCGGCGGCGGAUUAGCUUGUUGGUGAGGUAAAGGCUCACCAAGGCGACGAUCCGUAGCUGGUCUGAGAGGACGAUCAGCCACACUGGGACUGAGACACGGCCCAGACUCCUACGGGAGGCAGCAGUAGGGAAUCUUGCGCAAUGGGCGAAAGCCUGACGCAGCGACGCCGCGUGAGGGAAGAAGGCCUUCGGGUUGUAAACCUCUUUCAGGAGGGACGAAGCCACUCGGGUUAAUAGCCUAGAGGGUGACGGUACCUCCAGAAGAAGCCCCGGCUAACUACGUGCCAGCCGCCGCAGUAA